AUUAAGAUUUUGUUUUUUACAAAGGGUCAAAGAUCAUAGCCCCAAGACAAGCUAACCUGUCACCAUUACCAAUAACAGGGGAGGUUACCAUGUCUUGGGGGGCAUGAUCUUGGACCCUCUGUAAAAUGUCAGUGUGAUCCCUGAGGGAAUUGAACCCACGACUUUAGGCAUUUGUGAGCCACACAUCACCACGUGGAGCAGGAGUCAGUAACAUGACAACAACUGUACCACUCCAUUAAAGGCCAUGUUAACCAGAGCCAGACUAAUGACAUCACGUUGUGUUGAAAAGGAGAGGAAAGUCGAUGAAAAGCCUGUUGACGGGCGUUAAUUAAACACCAUCCGGCUAUACUCGGCCCUGUCUCAGGAUGGUAAGUUGGUGGUUGAAGAUAUCCCUCUAGUGGUGUGGGGGUUGUGCUUUGGCAAAGUGGGUGGGGUUAUAUCCUUCCUGUUUGGCCCUGUCCGGGGGUGUCCUCGGAUGGGUCCACAGUGUCUCCUGACCCCUCCUGUCUCAGCCUCCAGUAUUUAUGCUGCAGUAGUUUAUGUGUCGGGGGGCUAGGGUCAGUCUGUUAUAUCUGGAGUACUUCUCCUGUCCUAUUCGGUGUCCUGUGUGAAUCUAAGUGUGUGUUCUCUAAUUCUCUCCUUCUCUCUCUCGGAGGACCUGAGCCCUAGGACCAUGCCCCAGGACUACCUGACAUGAUGACUCCUUGCUGUCCCCAGUCCACCUGGCCGUGCUGCUGCUCCAGUUUCAACUGUUCUGCCUUAUUAUUAUACGACCAUGCUGGUCAUUCAUGAACAUUUGAACAUCUUGGCCAUGUUCUGUUAUAAUUUCCACCUGGCACAGCCAGAAGAGGACUGGCCACCCCACAUAGCCUGGUUCCUCUCUAGGUUUCUUCCUAGGUUUUGGCCUUUCUAGGGAGUUUUUCCUAGCCACCAUGCUUCUACACCUGCAUUGCUUGCUGUUUGGGGUUUUAGGCUGGGUUUCUGUACAGCACAUUGAGAUAUCAGCUGAUGUACGAAGGGCUAUAUAAAUAAAUUUGAUUUCUCUGAUAUUGUGAUGAGUCCACAGAGAGAAUCACUGGUGAUUAUGUAGCCUAGUGGUUAGAGUGUAGAGGUGGCAGGUAGCCUAGUGGUUAGAGUGUAGAGGUGGCAGGUAGCCUAGUGGUUAGAGUGUAGAGGUGGCAGGUAGCCUAGUGGUUAGAGUGUGUAGAGGAGGCAGGUAGCCUAGUGGUUAGAGUGUAGAGGUGGCAGGUAGCCUAGUGGUUAGAGUGUAGAGGUGGCAGGUAGUCUAGUGGUUAGAGUGUAGGGGCGGCAGGUAGCCUAGUGGUUAGAGUGUAGAGGUGGCAGGUAGCCUAGUGGUUAGAGUGUAGAGGUGGCAGGUAGUCUAGUGGUUAGAGUGUAGAAGCGGCAGGUAGCCUAGUGGUUAGAGUGUAGAGGAGGCAGGUAGCCUAGUGGUUAGAGUGUAGAGGUGGCAGGUAGCCUAGUGGUUAGAGUGUAGAGGUGGCAGGUAGCCUAGUGGUUAGAGGGUAGAGGUGGCAGGUAGCCUAGUGGUUAGAGUGUAGAGGUGGCAGGUAGUCUCGUGGUUAGAGUGUAGAGGUGGCAGGUAGCCUAGUGGUUAGAGGGUAGAGGUGGCAGGUAGCCUAGUGGUUAGAGUGUAGAGGUGCAGCCUCUACAGCCUGCUGGUCUGUUGCUCAGCUUAAACACACACACACACACACACACACACACACACACACACACACACACACACACACACACACACACACUGGCGCUGGUCUUCCUCCAUCAGUUUUAUCUGUGUGAUCUCAGAGACCGGCCAGCGCCUCAUCCCAAAUAGCUCUAGUCAAAAGUAUGGGGUGCUAUUUGGGACAUUUCCCUCUGUGCCCCCCUGGUGCAUUCUGGGUAACUGUGUGUCUGCAGCGAGCGGGGAGGAUAUCCUGGCAGAAGGGGGGAGUGAGAGUGGCCAUUUGAGUUCCUUAGAGGUCAUACUGAGACUUCCUCUCUCUCUCUGUCUCUCUCUCUCUCUCUCUCUCUCUCUCUCUCUCUGUCUCUCUCUCUUCUCCCUCUCUCUCUCUUCUCCCUCUCUCUCUCUCUGUCUCUCUCUCUCUCUCUCUCUCUCCCUCUCUCUCUCCC
ensembl:lncRNA